AGCAGCCGCGGUAAUUCCAGCUCCAAUAGCGUAUAUUAAAGUUGUUGCAGUUAAAAAGCUCGUAGUUGAAUUUCGGGAUCAAAGAAUCGGUCAUGCCUUGGUAUGUACUGGUUUUAUUGGUUCUCACCUUCUAAAGAACCAUGAUGUCAUUCAUUUGAUGUUAUGGGGAAUUAGGACUGUUACCUUGAAAAAAUUAGAGUGUUUAAAGCAAGCUUACGCUUGAAUACAUUAGCAUGGAAUAAUGAAAUAGGACAUCAGAUUCUAUUUUGUUGGUUUCUAGGAUCGAUGUAAUGAUUAAUAGGGAUAGUUGGGGGCAUUAGUAUUCAAUUGUCAGAGGUGAAAUUCUUGGAUUUAUUGAAGACUAACUACUGCGAAAGCAUUUGCCAAGGAUGUUUUCAUUAAUCAAGAACGAAAGUUAGGGGAUCGAAGACGAUCAGAUACCGUCGUAGUCUUAACCAUAAACUAUGCCGACUAGGGAUCGGAUGAUGUUAAUUUUUUUAAUGGCUCAUUCGGCACCUUA
rnacentral:misc_RNA from 1 species